GAUGAACGCUGGCGGCGUGCCUAAUACAUGCAAGUCGAGCGAACGGACGAGAAGCUUGCUUCUCUGAUGUUAGCGGCGGACGGGUGAGUAACACGUGGAUAACCUACCUAUAAGACUGGGAUAACUUCGGGAAACCGGAGCUAAUACCGGAUGAUAUUUUGAACCGCAUGGUUCAAAAGUGAAAGACGGUCUUGCUGUCACUUAUAGAUGGAUCCGCGCUGCAUUAGCUAGUUGGUAAGGUAACGGCUUACCAAGGCAACGAUGCAUAGCCGACCUGAGAGGGUGAUCGGCCACACUGGAACUGAGACACGGUCCAGACUCCUACGGGAGGCAGCAGUAGGGAAUCUUCCGCAAUGGGCGAAAGCCUGACGGAGCAACGCCGCGUGAGUGAUGAAGGUCUUCGGAUCGUAAAACUCUGUUAUUAGGGAAGAACAUAUGUGUAAGGAACUGUGCACGUCUUGACGGUACCUAAUCAGAAAGCCACGGCUAACUACGUG
rnacentral:rRNA from 1 species